CACAACCAAGCUGGCCCCAUCAGCAGCACAACAACAAUCGAUAAGGCCAGCUUUUAACUGUAAAGCUUGCGGGGGAAAAGCUGUUAUCGUUGUAUGUCAACAUUUUCACGGUUGCCACGCGAAAAGCUAACAAUUCCUGCACAGUGUGCUUUUGUGUCUGAUUCCUUUAACGCGUUCACGUUGCUAAUGGUCCAGUUGGCCUGCGUGGAGAAACCACAAAGAAAAAGAAAUAAUAAUAUUACAAAUAACUAACGCCAAUCGCGCCAAUCAAUGAUAAGUUAUCAGCACUAAUGGCAAUUCUGUGUAGUGCAGCCGCCUGGAAAUAAGCGAAAUUCAAUAAUUGAAAAAGAAAAGGCUGAUAAGACAUAAGCCACAAAAAUCUAUAACAAUAGAACCAAAAGUUACACCAGACUUAAACAAAUGCCAAAUUUUAAAUGUUUUAUUAGACAAUUAACAAGGAGCACAUCACAAACCGUCAUUUAAACGUCCAAAGAGCAACAAUUGCACCACCGUCUAACAUAAUAAUAAAAACACAAAAAACAAACCCCCUCAAUUUAUCUGUGGCAAACAACAACCAUAAAAAAAAAGCUCUUAGCAGGCCAUGUCAAGCGGUGAGAGAGAGAGAGAGAGAAAUAGUGUGAAUGAGUGAGUGAGAAAGUGAGCAAGCACAAUUUGCAUGGGAAUGUGUGUGAAGGGAAGACUGGGACACAGCUCACCUGUUGGACUGGCUGACGUUGACCGCAUUUAAUGGCACCGCGUUUAUAGAGCAGUUCUCGAAAGUGCUGUGAAUGAAAGCAGAAAUCAAUUUAGUCGUGGGAAGGAAACUUCAAAUAUGAAUACAGGAGAACAUAAGGAGCAUGCAACGUCAGCGCAGCAUAAAGAAAAAUCACCAACAGCCCAAGAACAGCAAAAGCAACAGGAACAACAACAGCAACA